rnacentral:rRNA from 1 species
AUUGAACGCUGGCGGCAUGCCUUACACAUGCAAGUCGAACGGCAGCAUGAUCUAGCUUGCUAGAUUGAUGGCGAGUGGCGAACGGGUGAGUAAUACAUCGGAACGUGCCCUGUAGUGGGGGAUAACUAGUCGAAAGAUUAGCUAAUACCGCAUACGACCUGAGGGUGAAAGUGGGGGACCGCAAGGCCUCAUGCUAUAGGAGCGGCCGAUGUCUGAUUAGCUAGUUGGUGAGGUAAAGGCUCACCAAGGCGACGAUCAGUAGCGGGUCUGAGAGGACGAUCAGCCACACUGGGACUGAGACACGGCCCAGACUCCUACGGGAGGCAGCAGUGGGGAAUUUUGGACAAUGGGGGCAACCCUGAUCCAGCAAUGCCGCGUGUGUGAAGAAGGCCUUCGGGUUGUAAAGCACUUUUGUCCGGAAGGAAAUCGCACUUACUAAUAUUAGGUGUGGAUGACGGUACCGGAAGAAUAAGGACCGGCUAACUACGUGCCAGCCGCCGCGGUAAGAC